rnacentral:rRNA from 1 species
AACGAACGCUGGCGGCAUGCCUAACACAUGCAAGUCGAACGAGACCUUCGGGUCUAGUGGCGCACGGGUGCGUAACGCGUGGGAACCUGCCCUUAGGUUCGGAAUAACUCCCCGAAAGGGGUGCUAAUACCGGAUAAUGUCUUCGGACCAAAGAUUUAUCGCCUUUGGAUGGGCCCGCGUUGGAUUAGCUAGUUGGUAGGGUAAAAGCCUACCAAGGCGACGAUCCAUAGCUGGUCUGAGAGGAUGAUCAGCCACACUGGGACUGAGACACGGCCCAGACUCCUAGGGGAGGCAGCAGUGGGGAAUAUUGGACACUGGGCGAAAGCCUGAUCCAGCAAUGCCGCGUGAGUGAUGAAGGCGUUAGGGUUGUAAAGCUCUUUUACCCGGGAUGAUAAUGACAGUACCGGGAGAAUAAGCUCCGGCUAACUCCGUG